UACGAAGGGGGCUAGCGUUGCUCGGAAUCACUGGGCGUAAAGCGCACGUAGGCGGAUUGCUAAGUCAGGGGUGAAAUCCUGGAGCUCAACUCCAGAACUGCCUUUGAUACUGGCGAUCUUGAGUCCGGGAGAGGUGAGUGGAACUCCGAGUGUAGAGGUGAAAUUCGUAGAUAUUCGGAAGAACACCAGUGGCGAAGGCGGCUCACUGGCCCGGUACUGACGCUGAUGUGCGAAAGCGUGGGGGAGCAACAGG
rnacentral:rRNA from 1 species